UCUGAGCUAAGAGUUCUUUUAACUGCCGCUGCAAACUGACAAGGCUCUGAAUGUGCUCUUUUCAGCAGUAGGAGCUAAAAACCAUGUCAACAUCGUGCUGCUUUGGAGCUGGCUGGGGUAACUUCCACAGCACCAACAAAAGCCGCAGUGUGAGCGCAGAUGAUCUGCGCUGCUAGGAAAGCCCGAUCCGUCUGACCGGGCACAGCCGUGAAGCCCCAUCAUCUCCACGAACUGAGAUGAGAUGUGGAACUGUAGACCUGAAUCCCUGUUGAGAUAGAAUGACUAUAGCCAACCACAGGACGACCGAGACUGGACACGUGCCAUCAGCUGAAAUCCAUUAGAUAAUUACAUUUCAACAUAAAACACCCGUGUUGCUUCAAUUAAAUAUUACACUUUCCAUUC